rnacentral:rRNA from 1 species
CAGCCGCCGCGGUAAUACCGGCGGCCCGAGUGGCGGUCACUCUUAUUGGGCUUAAAGCGUCCGUAGCCGGGUUGGGAAGUCCUCCGGGAAAUCUGGCCGCUUAACGGUCAGAAUGCCGGAGGAUACUCCCAGCCUAGGGAGCGGGAGAGGCCGAGGGGAUUCCCGGGGUAGGGGUGAAAUCCUAUAAUCCCGGGAGGACCACCUGUGGCGAAGGCGCUCGGCUGGAACGCGUCCGACGGUGAGGGACGAAGGCCAGGGGAGCAAACCGGAUUAGAUACCCGGGUAGUCCUGGCUGUAAACGAUGCGGACUUUGUGUCGGACAAGCUAUGAGCUUGUCCGGUGCCGGAGGGAAACCGUUAAGUCCGCCGCCUGGGGAGUACGGCCGCAAGGUUGAAACUUAAAGGAAUUGGCGGG